CCGGUCUGUGAAGGAGGAGGCCUGAUGAGACACUUAUGGCCAGAGCCCCACUGGGCCAGGAGAGUAGUACACCAGGAAGUGACCAGAGUCAGAAGCCAGAGAAACCAGAGACCUAGGCUGGAGCCGCUCUCAUUCACUAGGAUUUGGGACAGGGUGGAGAAGCACCUUGCAGUUCCUAGCAGAGCCCACUCUCUGGCACCCACCUCGAAGGAGUUCCUGCUUCUUAGUGAGACACUCGCGCUCCUUGUCACAGAUCUCCCGCCUGUUGUCAGCAGUGAUCUUCUUCAUCGCCAGCUCCAAGUCCUCCUUCUGCUUGGCCAGGAAGUCCCGGUCCUGUGUGGGAGAGAGAAUAGACCUUUAGCACUGGCUUCGGCACCUCGUCCUCUACUGCUAUUACAGAAGAUAGGUCAUCACAAGCAGCGAAGAAAACAUGUGGAAAUGUGAGACUUAGAGACACGUCAACCAGUUGUGGCAUGUGCACUUUAUGUGGACCCUGAUUCAAACAAAUUGUAAAACAGAAGAAUUAAUGAGACAAUUGGAAAUGGAAAUAAUGAUUCAAUGCAAUAAUUACUGAAUUAUUGUUAAAUAUUUAAAGUUUUAAGUACA